rnacentral:miRNA from 14 species
UGACCUCGGAGUCAAGCCAAC